rnacentral:lncRNA from 1 species
AUCUCUUUCUGGAGAUCCCCUCCUUGUGGAGUUUCCUUUCUGAGCCUACAUCUUCAGAGAUGACAGGAUUUCUAGAAGCAUUACCACAAAAUGAAAAGAGCUAGACUGUGCCUUUAAGAUUUGGAACCAUUUGGAGCAUCACUGAGCUACCUGUCUUGAGCAGAAGGUGCUGCCCUUCCAUCAACUAACAGACUCUGCAGAGAGGCAUCUUUGAUGCAGAGCAAAGCUGUGCCCAAUGCAUCACGAACUUUUAACCAUAUCAAGAGAUCUACAGCUGAUGUUAUAAAAACCCAGCACCUCUCCCUCCAUGCCUCUCUGCCCUUGUGGAAAGGGCAAGCAGCUAACACAGUAAUCUUCUGCAAAGGGAGGCGAAGCAGCAUACACUAAGUCAUCACUGCUCACUGUGUAAUUUGGUUUGACAUAUCUAGCAUUUUUAGCACAGACAUUCAGGCUGUUUAUCUACUUUACCUUUCAGUUUAGUUCUUUGAGAGUUUACCUGACUAGGGACUGAGAAAUUAAGCCCUUCCACUGUAACUCCAUGUGUACAAACCUGACCCCACUAAUAGCCAGGGGAGCGUUGUUACUGAUUUUGGUCAGGCCAUCAUUCCACACUUUUCUACUGACAGAAUAAAGCCCUCACUUUGUACACUACCCCCAUUCUUACUAGUGCUCAUGUGUUCUCCAGAUCUACAGCACUACUUGCACGGAAAAUUGUUUUUUCUCCUUUCCCGUAGUAGCACAAACUUGACAUGUGACAACCUUGGUGUUUUUGAUGUCAGAUAUGACUCAUGAGAUAGAUGCUGGCUUUACUGAUUAAUCUUACUUACGCAUAUGUCUUAUUUCUCCCUUAUGACUUGCCAAGAGCAUUUAUUUCUGCUGCACUAGGAACAAAAUCUCAUCUAUGUCUCUGGAGCAUUACAUAUUGCAGACUCUGUCUCUUUGGCCCUCUGCAUUAAUUUUCUUCAAAUGACACCAAGGGGCCAAUAUGUUAAGUUUGCACUAUUGGUCUGACAAAAUUUUGGCUUCUAUUUAUAAUCAUUUGUGUAACAUGCAUCGGUUUGGGUUAGCUUAGACCUAUUGUGGAGGGAAUUGCUCUAGCACAGAUCAUUUCAAAACUGCUUUCACUUUCUGUACUUGCUGAGGCUUGUGUUUUUGAUAGAGUGUAAAUUGUAUCAGGGAUACUGACAACUCUCUGAUAUAAAAUCAGAGGUAUACAUUGGAAGGCUCUAUUAAUACAAACUUUGGUAUCUUGUCCUUCUUAAGAGGAUUUCUUUGUAGAAUUAGGUAUUGAUCCUGCCCUAUUUAUUGGACUUCAUUCAUGACUGCAUGACUCCAUGGCCUACUGGCAUGAACAGUCUAAAAUCAUAUGAAUAUUAUGAGCAACAGUAUAAAAGAUGCAACAAGGCUAAUUCCAACUACAUACUAGGAGAAAAAAAUCACAUUCAGUAGAGUCAAACACUGUGGCAGGGCUCUAGAAGAGGUUCAGGAAUCUUCAUCUCUGGGGAUAUUCAAGGUUUGACUGGACACAGCCCUGAUAUAAUAAUCUGCUUUGAGUAGAGAUAACUUUCAGAAGUUGCUUCCAGCCUUGGUUAUUCUAUGUUAUGAGAAGGGUCCCAUAGUUGAAUACAGACUGGAGUGCAUUAGAUGCUGUGUAACAUCUCUGUUCCUUAAGCACGCUCAAUCUCUGUCAUCUCUCAGGAAGGCCCAUCAGACGUCCCUUCUUUAUAAACAUGUCCUGUAAUACAGAACAAGGCAGAUCCAGCUUCCUACAUCUGCAAGUUGCAUGCCAAUAUAUACAGCAUUUCCCAUUCCCAAGAGCCACAGAAUAUGCACUACACAAAGGUGAGAGAAGAGCAUUAGUUCAUCUAGGGAAAGACAACAUCCCAUCAAGUACCCUUCUGCAUCAGUGCUAGAUAGUGCCGGGCUGAGUGACCAACGAAUACAAAAGCACCCCCUGCAUUACAGGUCCCUGCUGAUUCCCUUCCUUCAGCAGAUAAGGUCUUUAGGUACCAGCACAGCCCUGCAGCCAGUCACCCAGCACUAACCCCAGCACAGGAGCCAGGCUUGGGCCACUGGCACACUGCACAGGGCCUGCAUUCCCACCGCCUGAGUAUGAUUGUUCUGGAAUAAAAAAGUACCAGGCUUUAUUCAAAUUGGAUUAAAAAAAAAAAAAAAAAAAAAAAAAAAAAAACAGAUUUGGCAAAUAUAUUGGAUUUAAAGAUGAAAUUUGUUCUUUUUUUGCUUUAUCAUCUGGAUGCAAAAGUCUAACGUUACUCCUUACACAGUAUUCUCCAGGGUUUAGGAAUAUUAUAGUUGUACGUGACCCAUGUACAGGGCUUCUGAUGUGUCUUUAGGCUGACUAAACUCUAAUAAAUUUAGCUGUCAUAAAGUUCUUUGAUAUUUAGUCUAAAAUUUGAUGGGUUUUGUUUAAUUUUGUCAUAACAUUUCUGGUUAUAAAUGAAUGCUGUCCCCAGAUACUCUACAGGGAAAAGGACUUUAAAGCAAUGCAUCUUUACU